rnacentral:misc_RNA from 1 species
GAAAUGCGAUAAGUAGUGUGAAUUGCAGAAUUCAGUGAAUCAUCGAAUCUUUGAACGCACAUUGCGCCCCUUGGUAUUCCAUGGGGCAUGCCUGUUCGAGCGUCAUUUGUACCCUCAAGCUCUGCUUGGUGUUGGGUGUUUGUCCCGUCUCCGCGCGUGGACUCGCCCCAAAGUGAUUGGCAGCCGGCGUACUGGUCCCGGAGCGCAGCACAUGUCGCGCAAACGAGUGCCUUGGUACGGCGGCGUCCAUAAGCCCCUCUCUCACGCUCGUGACCUCGGAUCAGGUAGGGAGACCCGCUGAACUUAAGC